GGCAUCACGGGAAGGGCGGCGGGGGUCGCGAUUGGCGGCGCCGGGUGGACACGCUCCCCGGGCUGACACGCUCGCCGGGCCACCUGCGGCUGCGGCGCUGCCUCUGGCGGAGGAAUCUGGGUGAAGGCGGCGCGUGAUUGGCCGCCCUUGGGUACAGCACCCGUCUGUGAUGCUUCCGCGCGCUGUCGGCAAGGUGCAACCUAAGGAGCGCCACCGUGGGCGGGGAGUCCGGGCAAUUGAGGCUUUGUGAGCCCUUGCUGUUUGAAGUUUUGAGAAUUUGGAAACCGAUGCUCUCUCUUCCGUCCGGAAGUGCUGCCUCCUGGACGCUUGGUUCGUCCCCGCCUUGAAAUCUCGAGGCGAAACCGGGGACCUAUUGUCUAGUACGUGGAGGUUUUACCUAUGUCAGCAGGUCUAGGGGCACCUUGCUAACGCAGAAGCGAGGGGAAGGCGAACCUUGUGAGGUUUUAAUGGACCCGAUAAUAUAAGUUUUUAAAUUCGAAUAUACAUCCUAAAGCAAGGCUGUAUGUCAUCCGGACCGUCGCAUAAGACCGAUGGUGUUACCUGGUAGACGUGAAACAAGUCUCGUACUUCCUACAGGGGUCAGUGCCCCCUACAUACCUGACCCCAAGGAUAUCGCGGAAGAGGAGUGGACCAAGAUCAUAAGGGCCGUGCAGGGUACACACAUUCUUUCCCAGAUUGUUGUCAUCGUUCAGCCGAACUUUGCUCCAAUUUAUAGGUUUUCUCCAACUAUGUUUUCCUUAGUAACAGUUACUAAAAACUUCUUUAAUCUCCCUUAGAAGUUAUUUGUCUUGCUACUAAUUGUAAGUUCAUCAGACCAAGCUUCAGGCCAGGACUGUAUUGAGGCUGAGAAGACUUGAACAUGGAAGGGCUGGGGUAGCGUCACAUGCAACGGGCCAACUGUGCCCAGUGCAUCACCCACCUGGCGCCUGGACCUCUCUGAUCUCCUUCUGAGCCCUUCUUGGUCCCGCAUUCUAUUCCUCAACCUUGCUUUCCGUGAUCUGGCAUCUCUUUGCCGACUAACUCACUUGGUUUGCCGUUUUUGUUAAUAGUUUUACCUCUAGGACAGUGGUUCUCAGCUGGGAUGAUUUGGCACCCAAGAAACAUUUGGCCACGCUUGAGGCAUUUUUGUUGUCACGAGUGGAGGUGGGUGAGGGCUACCGGCAUCUAGUGUGGAGUGGCUGGGCGGCAGGUGAAUAGCCUACAAUAUACAGGACAGCCCUCACAGCAGGAGAGUUAUCUGGUCCAAAGUGUCAGCAGCGCUGAGGUUGAGGUUGAACCCCCUGCUCUCUAGGUUCUGGCCUUUGACCCCAGUCUCCAGUCUUUGAGUGGCCUCAGGUCCUCCUGUCAGCACCCCCAGACACCACUGUCCUUCCUGGGUGACAGGCUCCACAGGACUAUGACAAAGCUUCCGAGGGUGAGGACAGUGGCUCGUUCUACACCCGAGCUCACAGCAAGCUUAGCACCCAGAGGACAGUCCAUGCAGGGUUGUUUAAUGAAAAACAGUAGAACGUGAAGUUUAAAGCACUAAUUGAAAUCCAUUCUCAACGACCCUGCAGCUCAAUUUAUAGUGGCAGCUGCUGCUGAAAGCAAGAUUAUGAAAUCCCCGAAGCCUGGACCAGAGGUGGAAAGUCUCCUGUUCUGGGCGGGCUGGGCAGAUCUGGCAGCUUUUCCCAUCAGGAAAUACAGAAGAGGGACUGAGGAGAAAUAAGAGCUGCCUCAGGCUUUAACAGAGUGUUGGGCUGGAUCCUUCCCAAUUUUGCUCCCCCCCUCACGCCCUUGGAGAAAGGGGGUCGGGGUGUAUGCAGCUUGUUUAUUGAGGGUGAACUUGGACACCAGAGCCCACUUUUCUUUCUUUCUUCCUUGGCCACGCCGCGCAGCACGUGGGAUCUUAGUUCCCCGACCAGCGAUCGAACCGUGCCCCCUGCAGUGGAAGCGUGGAGUCCUAACCACUGGACCGCCAGGGUAGUCCUCAGAGCCCACUUGUCGUCACCACGUUUCUGAAGGUGUGGGCGCCGGCUGGUCUUGAAGGGAGCGUGGUGAGCAAGCGUGAACCAGGCCACCCUGGACGCUGCAUGCGUGGUCAAAGGAGCAUUCACCCGGAACGGGGGCCGGGGGCCAAACAGAGGCGCCGUCCUGCCUGGGCAGGGGCAGGGGCAGGGGGUCUGUGGCAGAGAGCCAGUCGGGGUGAGGCUGAAACAGACAUGGCCCCUUUACGAAAACUCGCCACAUGUGGGGACCGUUAAAAUGGAGUUGAGUCAGGCCAAGAGAGACCGACCGCCCUUCUCCCUCAGCCCCUUGUGGCUGGAGCUGGCGUCGCUAGGGCCUGGGACCAGAUGACACCUAGGUGGGAGCCCGCUGAGAAGGGCCAUCCCUCCGGAGUGCAGACUCCCCUUCCUCUCCCUGCAGGUGGGUGCAGGCAGCCUCUGAAGGAGGGGGGAGGCCUGCGGGAGUCCUAGGUGGGAAGGAGACCCUGUGAUUGCGAUGAUAAACUCCACAAUGGCUGACAUUUUGAUAACCAGACUGGCUUACAGAAACUACUGACCUGCCGUAUUAGUUUGCUCGGGCGGCCAUAGCAAAACACCACAGACCGGGUGGCUUAAACAACAGAGACUUAUUUCCUCACAAUUCUGGAGGCUGGGAGUCUGAGAUCAAGGUGUUGGCAGAGUUGGUUUCUUCUUAGGUCUCUCGCCUUGGCUUGUAGGCGGCCUCCUGCUCGCUGUGUCUUCGUGUGGCCUGUGUGUGUCUGUGUCCGUACCCCUUUUUACAAGGACGCCAGUCACACUAGUUUAGGGCUCACCCCAGUGCUCUCAUUUUACCUUAACUACCUUUUCAAAGGCUCUGUCUCCAUAAGUCUAAGCCUGUGAGUCUGUUGCUGUUUUGUAAGUUCAUUUGUAUCAUUUUUUUUAGAUUCCACAUAUAAGUGAUAUCAUAUGAUAUUUGUCGUUCUCUGUCUGACUUACUUAGUAUGGUGGGGCGGGGAGGGAUAGACUGGGAGUUUGGGGUUAACAAACACACCACUAUAUAGAAAAUAGAUAACCGACAAGGACCUACUGUGUAGCACGGGGAACUCUACUCAAUAUUCCGUAAUAACCUAUAUGGGAAAAGAAUCUGAAAAAGAAUGGAUAAAUGUAUGUGUAUAACUGAAUCACUUUGCUGUACACCUGAAAGUAACACAACAUUGUACAUCAACUAUACUCCAAUAUAAAAUAAAAAUUAAAAAUAAAUUUUAAAAAAUGAAAACGUGCCUGAUACAAAACAUAAAAGGCUCUGUCUCCAAAUACGGCCACAUUCUAAGGUACUGGAGGUUAGGACUUCAACACAUGAAUCUGGGGGGGGGACACAGUACAGCCCAUGAUAGCGGAAUUCAGUUCUAAACUGGUCUGGGAUAAAACGAAGAUAUCUGCUCAAGGGGGACCAGAGUGUUCGGGGCGAAUGUGGAGAGCAGGAGAUCUGCUGGUCUGUGCAUCACUGAGAGGCUACUCUUCAAACGCAAUAAAAGAGUAACUGAUCGGCCUUCUUUCAUAAUCAGCCAGAGCACCUUAUACCAACGAAAAGCUGACUAGUUCCUUAAACUAACAAUAUUCUUAAGGUUAAAAAUACCUAUAGGCUUAUUGUACAUGAUUUUAUCCAAUUACCCACCAGAGGGCCGGUGCAGAUGUAAGCCAGCACCAGAGUAAGGUGAUGCAGGCCAGGAUGGGGAGUGUGCUGGGACAUGCCUGAGAUGGGACCCAGUGUCCAUACUGUUCUCCGUGGACCAAGUUGUGGCAUGAACCUCCGUGGUAUGUGAGGCCAUGCAUCCUGCAUACCUCCUCUGGUCCCUCAGAGCGGACCUCGGGGUGGGAUGCAGCCCCUGGCAUAUGCUGGCCUGGGCUCCUUAUGCUUGGCCAUCGCCCUCAGUGGUGUCAGUUCAUCUUGGGUAGCUCUUGAGAGUUAUUCUUAGAACUGUGCCCAUGAAUUCAACCUCACUCCAUGAUCAAUCCUGGGCUAUUAACUGGAAUUCUGUGGUAUAAUGACUAACAGAUCUCCCCACCCCUUACACAGAAUGCAUUGCCCAUGUUGUGUUUUACCUGGUGUGAUGGUUAAUUUAAGGUGUCAACUUGGAGGAUGUUUUGGGUGAGAUUAACAUUUAAGUCAGUGCAUUUCUGGGUAAAGU